ensembl:lncRNA
GCGAGCGCUCCGAGGGGCGGAGCGAAGCGGUACCCGCCCCCUGGCGGCUCGGGCCAGUCAGCGCGGGCGUCGAGCCGGCCAAUGAGCGUAUGCAGGGGCCGGCCGGCGAACCAGCUAGGGGCCGCUCGGGAGGCGGAGCUCCGAGCGCGACCCGGAGGGAGACUCGGCGGCCGCAGCCAUGGGCGCUGGGCCUGCGGGGGCGCGCGGGGGGGCGCGAGGACCUGCGGGGCCGGGCGGGAGAGACAGCUGCCGGGACCGGCCCUAGACGCUGAGCCGCGGUGGGAUCCCCGCCGGCUCUGCGAGGCCCUGCGAGUGCCAGGGAGGCGCCGCGAGGGAGCCGGGCAGCCGCCGGCCACUUCAGGGGGGGCCCGUCUCGCCGUCUGGGCGGUCGAGAGGGCCUUGGGGGCACAUCUGGGGGUGCGGUGACCCGCCCGGCGUAUUUCGGGGGUCAGGGCGCGUUUGCCAGGGGACAUCUGGAGCCCGGCGCCGCCUCUGUCGGGCCCCAGGGCACCCCUGGAUGGCUGCGCUGUGCCCUCGCCGGCCGCCCGGGCGCCGCAGCGGCUGAGUUCGCCGGGAUCGCCGGGCCGCCGCCGCCCUUACCACCCGCUGCAUGCUGGGCGCCCGGGUCGCGGCCCACCUGGACGCAUUGGGCCCCCUGGUCCCCUACGUGCCGCCGCCGCUGCUGCCCUCUAUGUUCUACGUGGGCCUGUUCUUCGUCAAUGUGCUGAUCCUGUACUACGCCUUCCUCAUGGAGUACAUCGUCCUUAACGUGGGCCUUGUCUUCCUGCCCGAGGACAUGGACCAGGCGCUCGUGGACCUCGGCGUACUCUCCGACCCCGGCUCGGGCCUUUACGAUGCUGACUCGGAGCUCGACGUCUUUGAUGGGUACUUGGAGUAGGGUCUCGACUGCCGUUCCCCUCCUCCCUGGAGCCGCAACCCACGCCCUGGACCAGCCGCCCAGAUCAUGCCGCCGCAGCUGGUGGGGGGCACCAUCUGGACGGGGAUGGUUCCCCAGGAGGAGAUCCUCCCCUGCCUCCGAGGCCUGCCUGCUCCCCUCAAAAGCUUCGUGCCAACAGAGAGGUUCCUGUUUGGACCCAGGAGAGUAGAAAAGAGAUUGGGACUGAGUGCUGAGGUUGGGAAGGCACCUGCUCCCACAGAAGGGGGAACGCAAGGGGCGUCCCAAGACCUCAUCUGCCCGCAGCGUCACACCGAUGGCCCGGCCUUGGCUUCUGAUUAUUUGCAGCUGCGAUGGAAGUUUACAGGAACCCAGCCAGAGUUUGCCUCCCUGCACUUCACCCCGGAGCGCACCUGCUUCCCCCACUUCACCUUCAGAGAGGACACUUCAAACUGCGGACACACGCAAAAGCAACUCCCAGCUCCGUUUGAUGUGAGGAGACUGAGGUGUGGGAGAGUAGAGGCGGCAGAACUCCGGUGAGAGACAGUUGUAGCACCACUUGCCCUCAUGCGAUGCUAAAGAAAGAAAAGCUACGAAAUCUGAAAAGAAGACAUUUGAGAGGCUCAAGGAAAAAGGUGAGCGUGAGGAGGGAGACAUUUGCAUGUAGAGAGAGGCCUGAGAGGAAAAAUGACUAUUUGGAAGGUGCGCGGACUUACAAUCCACUGGACGUGGAAUUGCACCAUCAUGCCCUGAUUCCUCUGAGCACUGCUGUACCACCUGACAAAUGGGGUUCAGAGCACUUCCAGCACACUGUGCCUGUGCCUGCAGAGAGGUCCUCCAGAGAAGUCAGGAGUCCAUUCCCUUAUAGGAGUGUGACUAUAAGUAUCACUUAGAUCUGUGACAUGGAGACAGUAAUUUAUCCACACUUACGAUGACUGUGUGUUAACGACAAAAACAUGCGCCUCUGGGUUAAAAGGCUCCACACCAGCACUGCCAGCUUGGCAAGCAGAACCCAGACUGGUUUGCAGCCCCCAUGUUCCCCCUUGACCAGGUGCCUUUGUGCACUGUACAGACUGGCCAACUUCACCUGGCAGCCCUGCCAGAGAGUUUUUUUAAUUUGCUAAAAUAUAAGACUCACCAGGGCAGGAACAUCUUAUUUAUGACUGUGCACUCAGUAUGUAUUUGUAGAAUGAAUAAAGCGAAGUUAAGAUCCA